rnacentral:misc_RNA from 1 species
ACACCUCAACCCUCCAGUGUUUUUUGCAUUGCAGGUGUUGGUAGUGAGCGCUGCCGGUCUUUGGAUCGGCUCGCUUUAAAAUCAUUAGCUGGAUCCAUUCUGACCUGGUUCUACUCGGCGUAAUAAGUUAUUAUCGUCGAGGACGCCUGGCCUUUGUAGGCAGGGCGGCCACAGUAAGGGUGUUUGAACCGCUUCCAACACGUCUUGCUCUUGUAGCAAACACUUGAAC